CUGGCGUGCCUAAGCUGGUACCUGCUUGUUACCUAAAAUAGUAGUAAAAGAUACCUGUACGGAGAGCUUGGGAGGCAUUUCCAUAGGCUCAUUGUCAAGUGAAAAUUAAAGCCCCCACUCACUGGGAAGCAAAGGGUGAAGAAAUAAGACACUAUAUGGCUCUGCUUUUUAGUGCAUGGAUCAGAGACACAUCUAUGAACAACUGCCUGUGCAAUUGAUUACUGGGCAAUAUAAUUUCUCAGUUUUUAUGGGUAAAUGAGUGCUUCUCGCCAUGGACCUAGCUUGUGCAUCAAUUUAGUUCCAUUAACUUGCUUUGGAUUCAUGGAAAUUCUGUACAGAGAUGUGAGAAUGACUACAAUUUGAGGUAUCUGUUAAAUACAGCAACAUGACAUCACAAGGUUUUUUGAAGUCAAUCAUCAAUACCUUUAACUUAUAUAUAUAGGAGUAUGAAUCUCUAAAAGGAUUAUUUUGGAAUCUUCUGGAUAUGAGAGAUAGUAAAAAGGUGAAACAGUAGGACUGGAACAUAAGGGGAGAAAUAGAGAAAACCAUGGUUUCCAUACUCUUUGGAGAAUAAUUCAUUUGUUGGUUUGUUUGUAUAAGGCUCUUUGAAGAGAUCAACAAAGGGA